AAACUGCCACGAGGUUAAAGCGAGUGGGCUCAAGUACUCGAGGCGUUUAUGGGUGUCAUUAUCGAGAGUGAAAGGCGCCGGGUUCGAGAGCGAUCGAACCGGAUCGCCCUUCUGCCAUCACCUCCCACGAGGUCUGGUACGAGGGGGGACCGGCGUUCCCGCGAUUCUUUCUCUCGAGGUGUCUUGCGAACGUAGUAGAGCGUCGCGGCCGUUGAAGCGGUGUCGAUGACCCGGAGGCUGGGAACCGCAGCACCUUCUCGUCUUUCGGGUCGAGUAGGGUGGUGCGGGGACGCUUCGGUGUUCUGACGGCUGCCUCGACGGUUUGCUGAAACGGAGCGGGUGCGGGGAGGCGUCUCCAUCUUUCCUCCGCCCACACAAGGCUGGGUGAGGUCGUUGGAGGCGCCCCCGAGUACUCGACCCAUCUCCGUCACGCGGCGCAGGAUCUGCUGUUGCCUACUCGUCCCGUCUUGAAACACGGACCAAGGAGUCUAGAAUAUGCGCGAGUCAAAGGGCUGGCUAAACCCUAAGGCGAAACGAAAGUGAAUGAGUCGGUUGGGGCGCUUUUUAAGCGUCGCGGUUGAGUUUUUUGGGCCGAUCCGUUUCGGGGGUUACGCCCCGAUUUACCUCAUACAGUUAGGAGGACGGCGCAGGCCCGGGGCUCGCCAGCUUCGCCCCUUUCGCUAAUGCGAAAGUCGGUCGCGUUGAAGGGUCGUCGAGGCGCUCUUCCCAGCCUCGCCUGCAGUCGGUUUAUCCCGGCGCGCGGGUGGCGAGUUGGGAUACGAGCGUCGAGAUCGACCUCGAAGGCGUCGACUCGCAGAGAGGGACGAGCGGCGGGUACCCUGAGCGCAGAUUCUAGUACCCGAAAGAUGGUGAUCUAUGCUUGGCCAGGAUGAAGCCAGAGGAAACUCUGGUGGAGGUCCGAAGCGGUUCUGACGUGCAAAUCGAUCGUC
rnacentral:rRNA from 1 species